AGGUUAGGCAGUCCAGGUGGCCGCCUAACCUCCUGCCUCAAACUGCAGAAUCACCCAGAAACAGAAAGAAAGCAUGGACGAGGUAUACAAACCAGGCCCAAAGUCAUUCAGACUCCCUGCUUUGUAGAGAAGGCUCCUGGUAAAGCCAGGCUGCCACCUACUGAACUCCGUCCGGAACCUCCGUGGAAUAUAAGCCACCUGUAACAUACUUCUGGCCUUUUGAAAGUGCUUACAGAGUGUGAAACGUCAUUUGCCUUCCAUCAGUGGAGGCCUCCCAUUAGAUGCCUGGACUGAGAAGACUUUUCUUGUAUAGAUCACCACAUGAAUGGGCUUGAGCCCAUAUCUGCUGCCAAAAGAGGAUCAUCCCAGGGAAAUAGCAGGAUUUGGUUGGACAUUUUGAAGACAUCUUCAGAGAACUGGUAGCCUCUUUCCCCGUGUGACUUUUGCGGUUUUUGGAAAGCCAUGAAAUUCUCUGUCCCUUGAAAAAAAGAGUCUUGCAAAGCUGGUUUUUACAUGCUCAUUGAGAGACCGGCAAAUUGCUCGCACUGUUCUUCCAGCCAUGCAGAUGACCACAAAUCCAGGAGGUUCUCAAUCUAGAGAGUUUUGCUGUGUGCAGGAAGCUGGCCUGACUGGGAGGUGGGAAGUCUUUCUGUUGACUAAUCAGAAUGCCUACACUCCCCCCUCCCCCAACCACCCAGGGGAGGGGAGGUGGCGGGAACAGACACAGAGGGCUGUGCAUACCAAAGUCAGAUUCUGAAUUGAAAACUGCCACCAAGACACAAGAGCAGAGAGAGAAAGAGAAAAAAGGGAAAAUAGAACGAUGCAGCCAAACGGAUAGCAGGGACCAAAGGACCGUACCUUGGCAACAGCUUUGCCAUCGGAGUUGUUGUUGGAAUCUUUAACACCACUGAAUGAA